rnacentral:lncRNA from 1 species
CCCUUUUCCCAAACAUACAAAUCACACAAUCAUUUCCCAAUGUCAAAACCAACUCACACCUCUCACCAAAAGAUCCUAAGAACAUCAACUCUUUCUCUUUGAAAUCUACAAGGGAUUUUUCACAACCUCAAAACAUUUCUUAGCUCCUAACAACUUUGCUAGCCCCCUUUUUCUUUCUUUUUUUUUUUUUUUUUUAUUUUAUUUCUUUUUUUUUUUUUAGAUGGGGGCCAAGACUUUUCAUAACUUGAGCAUUUUUUUUUUUUUUUUUUUUUUUUUAGAUGAGAGCCAAGACUUUUCAUAACUUGAGCUAGAGGUUUUUCUUCCUAUCCCAAUAAGACAAUUCACUUAAACACAAAGAGUCAUUUCUUUUCCUUUUUCAUUGCUCCCAAAUCAUAAUCACAACACUCACCCCCCACCUAUAGCUAGACAAUAGAAUGCCCAAUCUAGCAAGAAUGAAGAUCAAGCAU